rnacentral:misc_RNA from 1 species
UUAAGCAAUGUUUAGAAUAAGAUAAUAUAUAUAUGAAUUUAAAAAAUAAAAAUUUUUUAGUCUUCUAUAAAUUUUUAUCUGGCUGUAUACAGGUAGAGUUCCCUUAAAAACUACGCAAUUUUGAAAAUGGAGUACAUCCGUUACAGGUCAACUAUUUGAAUUUAUUUUUUGUGAUUUGAAAACACCUAUUAUAGGGUUUUUCUUCCCUGGAAGUUGUUAUCCUUGUUUUGCCAUAUUUAGUGAGAAUAAGCAGAGUGAAUUUUCUGAAUUUUUCAAAGGAGAGGUUUCAUUGUGUCUGGUAAUAUUUGCUGGCAAAGACAUAAAGAGCCAGAUGGCACCACAAAAAGCUGUCAGUAAUAUCAAAAAUUUGAUCAUCUCCACGACAGAGAGUGGUUCGCAAGAUAACUGUUCAUUAUUGGCUGCGUACUUGAUAAACAUUUCAUCGAAUAAGGUUUUUUAGGUUUAUAACUGCAAUUUGAAUUGCAAUAAAGCUUGUGUGAUGGCAAUAAUUAACUCUUAUCAGAAAAAAAAAUUGCAAAACUUAAUAUAAGACAAAUUUAUUGAUAAGCUCCGCAACAUUGUUUUCAGACGGUAAAUAAAUUUAAAUUUUAUUUGGAAAAGAAGCAGAAUGCAACAUUCAAAAAGUGACUUUUAGAUCAAGUCUGUAUAUUGGUCGAAAACCAAAUUGUCAAGUUAAAGCAAUGCUAUAGCCGAGCCCAUAUCUCAAUCUCUCUGAAUAUAUAUCUGUCAAAGAUCAAUCUACAAAUUUGGACAUUUUCUUAAUUUCUUUUUGUUAAGGCUUUACCUAAAUAUUUGCUGCCUAUUAUUUUUUUCAAAAAAAAUAUGACUAAA